rnacentral:lncRNA from 1 species
UUAAAACCCUAUUUUCACACACAAGCGUUUCUCCUUCUUUUCCUUCAAUCCUCCUAUUUUCCUUCAGUCACGCGGCUUCUCAAACACGCUCUCAUACUAUGUCAUCUCUCUUCAAUCAAUCCUUAAAACCCUAAUUUCAAUUUCAUACAUCUCUCUGCAUGUCCAUCGCUGUAUCUUUCAUAAACCCUAAAUCAAGGUGAUUGUGAGAAGGCGGCUGAAAGAAGUGACAUACCCAACCUAGACAAGAUGUUAGUUGAAUUAUGUUCUUUUUAUUGUGUUUGCAUCUACAUAAACGUGUUGCAACUUCUUGUGUUUUUAUUGCAGCCAAUUAGAUGUCUACCUAUAUUCUCCACUUGAUGACUUUAUAUAGUUACUUAGGAUCAGGGAUUUUUAGUUCUUACAAAAGCAAUUGUUGCCUGUAUGGAAGAAAUAGAGCUUCACAUGGGUAAACUCACACCAAAGGAGCCACUCAGAGUGGUCAGUCUCAUUUUGAACGUAUGAUAGCUAACAUUACCUUUUUUUAUGGGAUGAUUGCUCAUCAUCAUUUCACAGUUUCACCAAUAAUACUCAAGCCGGUGAGUUGUAGGUGUCUACUACAGUGAGGAGUUGAGGUUUUCAAUGGACCUUGGUUAGACUAUGCUCCCACUCUCUAUGAGAGGGUGGAAAGCCCAUUCAAGAAGUUUGUUAGCUCUCUAUAUUCAAGCAGGUUAGAGAUAAGAAAGAUGGGAACGAAGCUUUAUUUUAUGUGUACAAGAUACGGAUGAAUUCUCUAUUUCAAGGGCGAAGAGGUGUAGGUCAUGUAACCAUGUUUUGACUACUGCGGAUAUUGAGGAUUGGAUGUAUAACCAGUUGGAUGUUACCAGUAGUCUUUUAUAUAUUCUACUCUAUAUAAGGAUAAAGCUAACCAAGUACUAUUAUAUUAACACGAGGUCGAGAAGGUGCCACUCAUCGAUAUAGUCAGCAUGGAACUUUAGAGCAUAUUACUUCAAAAUAUGGUUUUGAAACUUUAGAGUAGAUUACUUCAAAAAAAUUAAAUGUUUGUCGUUACGAGAACAUCACCAUGAUAUAUAUUUAAUCACGUAAAUACUAUUUUCAUACAUUUAUGUUAUUUAACUGUAUAUUGUUUGUCGUUACUUGAACAACACCAUGAUAUAGUUUUGA